rnacentral:rRNA from 1 species
CUACGUGCCAGCAGCCGCGGUAAUACGGAAGGUCCAGGCGUUAUCCGGAUUUAUUGGGUUUAAAGGGAGCGUAGGCCGUGGAUUAAGCGUGUUGUGAAAUGUAGACGCUCAACGUCUGAAUUGCAGCGCGAACUGGUUCACUAGAGUAUGCACAACGUAGGCGGAAUUCGUCGUGUAGCGGUGAAAUGCUUAGAUAUGACGAAGAACUCCGAUUGCGAAGGCAGCUUACGGGAGCACAACUGACGCUGAAGCUCGAAGGUGCGGGUAUCAAACAGGAUUAGAUACCCUGGUAGUCCGCMCAGUAAACGAUGGAUGCCCGUUGUUAGUUCACCUAAGAAUUAGCGACCAAGCGAAAGCAUCAAGCAUCCCACCUGGGGAGUACGCCGGCAACGGUGAAACUCAAAGGAAUUGACGGGGGCCCGCACAAGCGGAGGAACAUGUGGUUUAAUUCGAUGAUACGCGAGGAACCUUACCCGGGCUUGAAUUGCAGACGAACGAUUCAGAGA